rnacentral:lncRNA from 1 species
AUGUCUCCCAGUGGGCGGUACACCAGGUGUUUUCAAGGUCUUUCCAAGGACAUUUGGCCUUUCCGCCUCUGUCCCCUCUCAUUUGUCACCUCCUGUCCAGUGCUGCCUCUUGCAGUGCUGGAUAUCUGGCUGUGUGGUCUGAACCUCACUCCAUUCCUCUGUAUUGGUGCCUCACCUAAGGCUAAGUAUACUUCCCCCAACCCCCACCCCCCCAACUCCCCCAACUCCCUACCCCCCACCGCCCCACCCCCUCUGGUCUGCCCUACACUGCACUGUGGCCAUGGGCAGUGCUCCAGGCCUGCUUGGUGUGGACAUGGUGGUGACCCGUGUCAAGGACCAGAAUGGAUCACAGAUGAUCGUUGGCCAACAGGUGGCAGAAGAGGAAUUCCUGCCUUCCUCAAGAGGAACACCUACCCCUUGGCUAAUGCUGGGGAUGUCAAAAGAUCGGCCCAGCUCAGGGAGCAGUUUGCCCUACUAGCUCCUCGGACAGCUGUAAGAAGAGUCUCUGGCUCUUUAGAAUACUGA